GUGCUUGCUUCAGCAGCACAUGUACUAAAAUUGGAAUGAUACAGCGAUGAUUAGGGUGGCCCCUGAGCAAGGAUAAUACACAAAUUCAUGAAGUGUUGCAUAUUUUU
rnacentral:snRNA from 1 species